GAAAAGCUCAUCAUUGAACUCCAUUCACAAUUUGGCAACAAAUGGGCCAGAAUGGCUGCUCUGGUAUGCAUUUUCUUUAUCUCCUUUUCUUCACUGCUUCAGAAUAUAUAUUGUAUCUGCAAAUGUAUCUAAUCACUCCAAAACUAAAGCUACAAUAAAAAUAUUUUAAGUUCUCAAUUCUUAAAGAUUGACAUGUUUGUCUGUGCUUGUUAACAUGGUAAGUUUUAAUUUUAGUCUUUUCAGAAAAAACUGUCCUAAUUUUGAUUGGUGUAUUAUAUGCAUUUAGACAUGUCUUGUUAAGUGAUCCUUGAUUGAACAUUUUAAUGCACCAUGUUCCAUCUAAAAUUGCACUAAUGUAGUAAAAAAAACCAGAUUUUGAACUCUGUUUCUUUGGUUGCUGCUGCGACACAGUUGCCUGGAAGAACAGACAAUGAGAUCAAGAACUACUGGAACACAAGGAUCAAACGUCGCCAAAGACAAGGUCUCCCUCUCUAUUCAGAUGAGAAUGAUCACCAUUGUUCCACAACACCAAAUCCUUCUCCAUGCUUCACACAAACAGGAUCAAACCCUAAUAACAAUCUCACAAACUUUGAGUUCUUCAAACAAAGCCACCACCAAAACUAUCAUCACCAACAACAACAAGAGCAACAACACUCACAACAACAACCUCUAUCUCCAUCUGUAACUCAACAUUCCCCUCUGAGUUCCCCUUUCCAUCACAGACAACCCUUCACCACUUCUUCACCUAUCACUUUCUUAGACC
rnacentral:lncRNA from 1 species